rnacentral:rRNA from 1 species
UACGGGGGGGGCAAGCGUUGUUCGGAAUUACUGGGCGUAAAGGGCGCGUAGGCGGUUGGAUAAGUCAGCUGUGAAAACCACGGGCUUAACUCGUGGCCUGCAGUUGAGACUGUCUGGCUUGAGUGUGGGAGAGGAGAGUGGAAUUCCUGGUGUAGCGGUGAAAUGCGUAGAUAUCAGGAGGAACACCUGCGGUGUAGACGGCUUACUGGACCAUAACUGACGCUGAGGCACGAAAGCGUGGGUAGCAAACAGG